GGUUUGGUCCCGCGCAAGGUACGAAGGUUUAACCCCGCCAGGUCCGGAAGGAAGCAACGGUCUACCUGAUUCCCUGUGCCGCGGGUCGCCGAACCCAC
rnacentral:SRP_RNA from 1 species